rnacentral:pre_miRNA from 1 species
AGUAGGAAAGCUUGGUCAAAUGGCGGUUCCAUUCCAAGUUUUCUGAGGAAUUUCCAGACUGCUUUCCAAAUUGGUUGCUCCAAUUUGCAGUCCCACCAGCAAU